rnacentral:misc_RNA from 1 species
AGUAUGCAUUAUAUUUAUAAAUAAAUAAUACAAAAAUACGGUUGUUUCUUUUCGAAAUAAAUUGCAAAAUAUGCCACAUUCAUCAUCAAGUCUUUAGCCCGAAGAUUAAUUAGACACAAUUCGACUUCUUCCUAUCUUGAAUCAAUCCUUACAUUUCUCGAAAGCUGGAGCACCCUACAUCUCCAACUAUUUGCGAGCAGUAAACUAAUCUACCUCUCUUGACUCCUGUUUCUGCUUCUAAAAUGUCUCUCUUCUAACCCUAACUAACCCUUCGUGUCUGAAAAUGUGCCUGCCUAACUUCGGCUAUUUCUUAUCGACUUCUACAACCCCCUCUGCUAUCCUAUUCUUCCUAAUACCUCCUGAUUUCUAAUCUAAUCUAACCUAACCUAACAUCACAUGUUAAUAUUUCUAACUCUUUGUUUUAUAACUCUUUCUAUCUCGAAUUAUCUGACACCCCAAAUAUCGAAAAAUCAGGGACCUCUUCUAGCUCUUCGUCUCCUAUUUUUGUAUUAAUUCUAACCCUACUUUUACAUUCCUUGCAUACCACAAUUUUUGUUUCAUUUUUAUUAAUUUUCAUGUCAAUACUGCUUCUAUUUUAUUUAAACCUAUCUCUGUACUCCUCCUUGCUACUGUUAAUAAAUCAUUUACAAAUUUAGGAUGCUAAUAUUUAUCCCUGUGUAUUCAUCCCUUUGGUAGUUUUAAAAAAAUAUCAAAAAAUGUACAGUCAAUGAAAGAACGGCUUACAUGCAGAAGCGAUGAAAGUUUUCGAAAAUCCUCCGGUGUAGUGGUAAGUAUACUACUCAACUUUGUUUUUCACUUUAGGACUCCAGUGAUCGUAUUUUUUUUAAAUACUAGAUCUCCUAAAAUUCGAUAAUGAAUUUUAAAUGAUCUUUUAAUUUUUGCCCUUCAACCACGAAAUAUUUGCUUUAAAAGUCGUCAUCAGAACAGCUCCUCUCUUGAAUGUCUAAAGUAUCGAUGAAAAAACAUUUGAGAAAGCUAUUGAAUAUUGGAGUAUUUUCGUGAAAAAUUUCCGAGAUAAUUUCUGAAUUUUAAUUGAAAAGUUAAUUAAUAUUGUAAUAAUAAAUUCAAAAGUAAUUAGUUGCGAUAUUAAGCAAAAAUGCUAACUUUAAAACCGUAUAGGUAUGACAAGAUUUUCUUAAACCUGACUAAGAUUAAACCCAUAGCAUAAACUGUUUGCCUUCCAUUUGAAAUAAAACCUAGAGGGUCAUCAAAUAGGUGAAACAAAGCUCGACUUCAGUGUGAAAUUUUUAAUCCAGAACAGUAAUUUCUUUAGAAAUAUCAAUUUUCUAUUUUUUGACAUGCCAAUGUUGACGUCAAAAUUCAAUGAAGUUUUUUCAUUUACAUUAAUAUAUUAUGUAUUUAUUCAGUGUUAAGUAGAAUUUAUCGACACUUCGGAACUAUAAAAUCCAAAUAAAAUAUGAUAAACUAUUAAGGUAAUUUCAAAUGAGAAAUGGUAUAAAUGCAGUGCUGUGGUGCCUAAUUAUGAUUAUAUUUUCGUACGUGAUAGCCAUUAUUUCUGGAAUCGCAUACGUGUUUGCAACGUGUCUACAUCCUUUCUAUCCUAGUUUAACAACAAAGUAAGGUGUGACACAGGACGUUUGCUUUUAAUAGGAAUGCAGGUGGAUUCUUUUAGAAGGGCUCAAUUUCCCUCAGUUUUGUGCAAUGAAGAUGAUGAACGAAGAUCCCGUCUGUUUUGACGACGAAUCCUGUUCGGAAAUAAGCACCAGCACGAAAACUGCGUCGAAUAUCUCAUCCUGUGGGGAAAUU